CUGAGCCUGCUGUCGGCCUUUGAGGUCGUGGUAUGGAUGACGGAUGGCUGGCCGCUGUAUGAAUCACGCCUGAAGGGAAAGCUGCACGUUAUCAGCAAGCGUUACACUCAGCGCAUUGAGCGACAUAAUCUGAAUCUGAGACAACAUCUGGCAAGGCUGGGACGGAAGUCGCUGUCGUUCUCAAAAUCGGUGGAGCUGCAUGACAAGGUCAUCGGGCAUUAUCUGAACAUAAAACACUAUCAGUAAGUUGGAGUCACUACCUUCGCGGCAAAGAGGGAGAAGGCGUAACGAUUACCAAUCUGCGUAAUCUGUUUUUCACCCCUGCGGGGAUCAAAGAAGAGAAUAUCCAGAAGCUCACUAUUGAUAACUACCGC
rnacentral:rRNA from 1 species